rnacentral:rRNA from 1 species
CACGUAGGGCGCAAGCGUUGUCCGGAAUUAUUGGGCGUAAAGAGCUCGUAGGCGGUCUGUCGCGUCGGCUGUGAAAACCCGGGGCUCAACCCCGGGCCUGCAGUCGAUACGGGCAGGCUAGAGUAUGGCAGGGGAGACUGGAAUUCCUGGUGUAGCGGUGAAAUGCGCAGAUAUCAGGAGGAACACCGGUGGCGAAGGCGGGUCUCUGGGCCAAAACUGACGCUGAGGAGCGAAAGCGUGGGGGAGCGAACAGG